GGGACUAUACAAGGCGCCUGCGCUAGAUCCUGUUCUCGGCGCCAUUUUGUCUCGGCAGCAGUGGCGGUAGCUCUUUCCCAUUUUAAGCCUCUCGAAGAGGGGAGCUGAGUCUUUACCUGGUUGAUUCGUUCUCAUGGACUGGACGUUCACCUUCCGUCCCGGUUUCACUGUAAGGAUCUGUAGAUCGAGUGAACUUCAGAAAGUGAUUCAACGCUGUUGCAGAGAUUUUUCCUGAUGUUUUGUGGGGGAAAAUCAUCAAAGGCUUUUAACCCUUAGGUCUGCAUCUGUUUUCUUACUGUUUCUUGGAAUAUUUCUGAUUCUGUUCCCUAAAAGGCCAAAACUGUGAGCUUUUUUUCUUAAUGUGAAAAACAUGAAAAGAAAAUUGUAAGAACAGAAAUUAUGGUGGAGCAUCAAAGCCAGCAGAACCAGAAUUUUGAAUCUGUUGAAUGACCAAUCAUUGAAGAAAACCAUGAUGUUUUUUAAAGGAAGAAAUAGAUGAUCUUGUACUUAAAGAUAGUUGUCAUGAAAAAGGAGCAUUUAUCUUUUCAGAAAAGUAUAAAGGCUUGAAAUGAAAGAAGGUAAAUUAAGAUGUAAGGCUUGUUAAACAGUUCAACAUUUAGGAGUGACAGCAGGAAGCAUGUCCAUGUAUGCAAGGAACGGAGUGUAUAUUUAGCAAUUCCAAAAGGCAAAAUUAUUUAGGCAAGCUUCUCUGUAGGGGAAAAAAAUUAGGGAACACAAUUAUUUCUAAAGCCCCCACUAUAAAAGACUUACGAAAAGAUUCUAUCAAGUUUUUAGUACUAUUUACAAUGUACUAAAGUGUGAUAGACCUGUAACGGGGAGCAAAAGAAUAAUUACAAGAAAAAAAUCUAACAGCUACAGGCAGUUGUUUUACCUACAUAACGUAACACAACACACAGUGCACAAUGCACAGAACACUGGGCCUAGAGUCAGGAAGACCUGAAUUUAAAUUCCACCUCAUACACUUAGCUAGCUGUGUGAAGACCCCAGGCAAAUCCUUUAGUUUAUCUCCUCAUCUGUAAAAUAAGGACAAUAAUAACAUCUACUUCCAAGGGUCGUUGUGAAGAUAGAGUUAAUAAUAUUCUAGGGAAAAAACCCCACAAAAAUCUGUAUCAUAAUUGAUGAGACAAAUGGAAUUUCAAAGAAAAGCACUGAAGAGAUUUCAGUCAGCUCAUUUCAGUCAGCUACUGCACAGAUGUUUUAAAAGAAUUUAUUGUUUUAAAAGAAUUUGUAUUUUCAAAUACACUAUUAUUAAAGCCAUAUUCAUUUAAGGUAGACAAUACGUACUUGAAAGUAAAACUUAACUGCAUUUUGAUCAUGAUGGUGCUCAUACAAUGCUGGCAAAUAAAGUUGCUAGAAAAUUUCCCAUAAAAUGAGUGGAUUUAAAAAAUAUUUUUGGAUAAAAUUCAUUCUAUUUAUCACCAAUCUGAUAAAUCAGAUUUAUAAUUUUAAAACAUUGAAAUUAAGAUUGGGGUAGGGCAGCAUGUAAUUUACUAGCUACUGCUACAUGGUGUAAACAUACUACAUUUUACUUGCAUUUUUCUCUUUUUUUAUUCUGGUUUGGCAGAUUCGUUGCCUUACAUUAAUUUCUUGCAAAAUCUUCAGUAAUUUACAUUCUUGAGCAGUUAUUACUUUCAACUGCAUUGUAAAUAAAUUUAGAAAGUGCAAAAAUUAACGUGCACCAUAAGAAUUUUGGAAAAAGUUAAAGUUGGUACUGGAAAGCACGAAUCUCAAGUUGAAGACUUAAUUCAGGUAAGUUGUAAAGGCAAUUUUUCAUUUUAAUUUCAUAAACAUAAUAAAUUUAAUGCCCUUCCUAGGAAUGUUACUUGAAAAUCAUUCAACAGAUGAGCUUAAAUCUUUUACUGAACAGAAAUGAUGGAAGCAUUUUAAAUUACUUUUUAUUUAUUAGAACCAUUAGAAAAACUUAUUUCAGCAUGAAUAGCUGGUGGGAAAAAAAUUAAAUUUGAAAAUAGGAAAUUGAUUUGAAUAGCUUUGGGGAUUUUGUAGAUGUAGAAUUAAGAUAGUGUUCCAAUCCCUGCAACUACACAGAAAGCUAAAAGGAGUUCUGUUGCAGUCAGUAGUGAAGUUGAAAGAUGUUGAUAAAUAAUUCAACAGUAAAUCACAUCAAAUUUAUUGACAGAUUUUUGGGGGGAAAGGAUUAAUGGAUUUGGAUGGAAAUUCAUUCUUAAAUCCUGAUAUAGCUACAGGUUGACAUGUGAGUUGGGCAAAAAAAAAAAAAUCGAAACCCAUGAAAAUCAGUUGGCUUUAUGAACUUUACAAUAAAGAGUAUAUUGUAUUUUAUUUGGAAAUUUUGUGUUACACGUCUUUUAUACUGGUUUUGAAAUAAAAUAGAAUUCUCUA